ACAUAUUAGAGCAAGAAACUCCAAUAGUUAAUGGAAAGCAAUACUAUGUGAUAGCUGUGUUAACAAGAACUGCUGAUGGAGAUGAGGGAGGAAAACACCAACUUAUUAGAGCCACUGUAUCAGAUGGAAAACUCUGGAUUUGCAAGGCACAAGCAGGAGACAAGAGAUGGUUCAAAGGUGCCAGGAAAUAUAUCGAGAGCACAGCAGGUUCUUUCAGUGUUGCUUGAGAUGGACUUCUGGAUUUGCUUUGUUUGUAACUCAUCCUUAAAAAAGUGUUGGAUGUAUGGUUGAGUCCUUCAAACUUUUCUACCAGGAGCUUUAGAGCUAUUCAACGCUAAUGUGGAUAAUUCAAGUAUAACUUUGCAUAUAAGAACC
rnacentral:lncRNA from 1 species